AGAGUUUGAUCCUGGCUCAGAUUGAACGCUGGCGGCAUGCCUAACACAUGCAAGUCGAACGGAAACGAUGGGAGCUUGCUCCCAGGCGUCGAGUGGCGGACGGGUGAGUAACACAUAGGAAUCUGCCCAGUAGCGGGGGACAACUUGGGGAAACUCAAGCUAAUACCGCAUACGCCCUACGGGGGAAAGCAGGGGAUCUUCGGACCUUGCACUAUUGGAUGAGCCUAUGUCAGAUUAGCUUGUUGGUGGGGUAACGGCCUACCAAGGCGACGAUCUGUAGCUGGUCUGAGAGGACGAUCAGCCACACUGGGACUGAGACACGGCCCAGACUCCUACGGGAGGCAGCAGUGGGGAAUAUUGCACAAUGGGCGAAAGCCUGAUGCAGCAAUGCCGCGUGUGUGAAGAAGGCCUGCGGGUUGUAAAGCACUUUCAGUAGGGAGGAAACAGUUACGGGUUAAUAUCCCGUAGCCUUGACGUUACCUACAGAAGAAGCACCGGCUAACUCUGUGCCAGCAGCCGCGGUAAUACAGAGGGUGCGAGCGUUAAUCGGAAUUACUGGGCGUAAAGCGCGCGUAGGCGGCUUGGUCAGUCGGAUGUGAAAGCCCCGGGCUUAACCUGGGAAUUGCAUUCGAUACUGCCAGGCUAGAAUGUAGUAGAGGGAAGUGGAAUUCCGGGUGUAGCGGUGAAAUGCGUAGAUAUCCGGAGGAACAUCAGUGGCGAAGGCGACUUCCUGGACUAACAUUGACGCUGAGGUGCGAAAGCGUGGGGAGCAAACAGGAUUAGAUACCCUGGUAGUCCACGCCGUAAACGAUGUCAACUAGAUGUUGGGGGGUUUAACCCUUUAGUAUCGCAGCUAACGCAUUAAGUUGACCGCCUGGGGAGUACGGCCGCAAGGCUAAAACUCAAAGAAAUUGACGGGGGCCCGCACAAGCGGAGGAGCAUGUGGCUUAAUUCGAUGCAACGCGAAGAACCUUACCAGGGCUUGACAUGCAGCUGCUCAUCCGGUGAAAGCCGGACUCUUUCGAAGGUGCUGCACAGGUGCUGCAUGGCUGUCGUCAGUUCGUGCCGUGAGGUGUUGGGUUGAGUCCCGCAACGAACGCAACCCCUGUGGUUAGUUGCCACCGUCGGUGAUGAGCCGGCGAGCACUCUAGCCAGACUGCCCGUACAAGCGGGAGGAAGGUGGGGACGACGUCAAGUCAGUAUGGCCCUUACGCCCUGGGCUGCACACGUGCUACAAUGGGAGGUAUAGAGGGAAGCAAGACCGCGAGGUGGAGCAAAUCCCCAAAACCUUCCCCAGUUCGGAUUGGAGUCUGCAACUCGACUCCAUGAAGUCGGAUUCGCUAGUGACGGCGUAUCAGCUACGACGCCGUGAAUACGUUCCCGGGCCUUGUACACACCGCCCGUCACAUCAUGAAAGCCGUCUGCACCCGAAGUCGCUGAGCCAACCCGUCAAGGGAGGCAGGUGCCGAAGGUGUGGGUGGUGAUUGGGAUGAAGUCGUAACAAGGUA
rnacentral:rRNA from 1 species